CUCCGCUUCCAGCGUCCCCCAGAACGCGGAGAGGCAGCCUGAGUCUUACUCUCCCACCACAUCAAUUCCCAGCACCGUGGGCCCCGGGGCCACUUUAUUUUUUGUAUUUUUUUGAGAUGGGGUGUCUCUGUCGCCCAGGCUGGAGUCCGGUGGUGCGAUCUCGGCUCACUGCAACCUCCGCCUCCCGGGUUCACACCAUUCUCCUGCCUCAGCCUCCGGAGUAGCUGGGGUUACAGGCCCCCAGUCCACUUUCUUGGAGUCUGCUGUGUCUGACCAAAAAGCCCAUCUUCGCCACAUCUAAAGCUGGAAGUUCAUUUGCCAGCGUUGUUUAGAGCAAAAAGGUAGCAGCUGAUAUCAUGAGUUGGGGUAGAAGGAAAAUAUAGAGAACCAAGAACCAAGAACUGUGAAGACAACAACAUUUCAAGGACCAAGAAGGAAGAGAAGGGCUACAAGAGGCUAAAAGGAGCACCUAGAACAGAAGAGCAGAAACAGAGCCAUGUCACAGAGCCUAAGCAGAAAAGAAGAGUGGCCACAUCAGGAAGACAGAAAAGAUUAGAAAAUUGAUGAGGAGGACAGUGGCAGAGCCCGGGAGCACAGGUUAGGUGGGUAACAAGGCAGGUAGCAGGUGCAAUGUAGAGAAGUGGGGGAGCCAGGGAGGAGGAGAGGAAAUGGAGACUUUGACAGCAUGACUCUAAAAGCUUGACUAAGGAGUCAAGAAGAGACAGUGGCUAGAGGGGCUCAAGAGAUGUAGGGAGGGUCCCUGGCCCUGUUUCUGUUCAGAAGUCACACAUCA
rnacentral:lncRNA from 1 species